rnacentral:rRNA from 1 species
UACGGGGGGGGCAAGCGUUGUUCGGAAUUACUGGGCGUAAAGGGUUCGUAGGUGGCCAACUAAGUCAGACGUGAAAUCCCUCAGCUUAACUGGGGAACUGCGUCUGAGACUGGAUGGCUUGAGUGCAGGAGAGGAACGCGGAAUUCCAGGUGUAGCGGUGAAAUGCGUAGAUAUCUGGAGGAACACCGGUGGCGAAGGCGGCGUCCUGGACUGCAACUGACACUGAUGAACGAAAGCCAGGGGAGCAAACGGG